GACAGAGGUCCCGAGCGUUAGGCGGAAUCACUGGGCUUAAAGCGUGUGUAGGCGGAUGCCUAAGUACCUUGUGAAAUCCCACGGCUCACCCGUGGAACUGCUUGGUAUACUGGGUGUCUUGAGCCACUUAGGGCUACCGGAACAAAUGGUGGAGCGGUGAAAUGCGUAGAUAUCAUUUGGAACGCCAAUGGUGAAAACAGGUAGCUGGGAGUGUGCUGACGCUGAGACACGAAGCCAGGGGAGCAAACGG
rnacentral:rRNA from 1 species